UACGAACCGUCCUAACGUUAUUCGGAAUCACUGGGCUUAAAGGGUGCGUAGGCGGCCCGAUAAGUUGGGUGUGAAAUCCCUCGGCUCAACCGAGGAAUCGCGCUCAAAACUGUCGGGCUUGAGGAAGAUAGAGGUAAGCGGAACUUAGGGUGGAGCGGUGAAAUGCGUUGAUAUCCUAAGGAACACCGGUGGCGAAAGCGGCUUACUGGGUCUUUACUGACGCUGAGGCACGAAAGCUAGGGUAGCGAACGGG
rnacentral:rRNA from 1 species